rnacentral:sRNA from 1 species
UGUCCUCCCCCGACAUGUUCUAUAUCCACAAAUGAGUGAGUACAGAACUUUUAAAAGAGAUAUUUUACUAUUGCACCGGCUACCAAGAUCCAAUCCAUUGUAUAGUUAGGUACCU